rnacentral:miRNA from 1 species
CCGAUCUUAAAAGCUAGACUUUUAAGAUCGGUUAAAUAACCAAUAUUAAAAGUUCAACUUUUAAGAUCAU